GGAGGCAUGGCUCAGAUGGUAGAGCACCUGCCUAGCAAGCAGGAGGUCCUGAGAUCAAUCCCCAGUGCUGCCU